AUGUGUCACAGGCUGGGCACGCCUGCAUCUUCCAUCCUCACCAUGCUUCUGUGUGCUGGGUAUGGUGAUCUUCACUGCACAGGGGAGGAGGCUGAGCCUCCUACUGAAGCUGAUCUGCUACUUGGAAACUGGUUUAAAAACAACAGAUUUCUUUUGGCAUCAACUGCUAAAAAGACAUCAAAAGGAAGAGAAUAUAUUGGCACCAGAAUCAUAGGAGCACAGGUUGGAUACCCUGUUUCAUUUGUGGUUCCAUGAAGAGAGACACUUCACCUAAGCAUUUUCAGGUCUUUCUCUGCCCGUUUUACUUUCUCUUCCCUGAGGAGGUGGUGUGACUUACCAGCCUGAUAAAUUUGGGGAAAAUCAAGUGGGCUCACCUACCACAGCCCAGUCUCUCUUCUUUUGUGUGGUCCUGGCUGCCCGCAAAAGGUAAUCCUGGCUCCUCCAAGCUCUAGCCUCUUCUGCCACUAGCCUGUAUAAAGAUGCCUGGUGUGGCAGGAGUUUUUUGUGCCCUCCAUCACAUCUUUUUGGUCCAUCUUUGGUUGCAGCCACAUCUGCAGUGAUUCAAGUUCAUACUCAGAUAGCAGAGACAUCUCCUGCCCCGCCCCUGCUCCCCCCACCUCCAUCCAGGGCAUGUCACAAGUCUUUCCACUUCCUGACUUCUCUGGGGCUGUGAGAAGCUGCUCGACCCUCAAAAUCUGGCAGUGGAAGUAUCAGGGAGCUACAUCCCUGGAGACACCACUCAACCAAUCAGGAGAGAAGCCAAGGAUGCUUACUCCCGACUCCCAUCCUUCAAACUCUCAUUUCUGCUUCCUGGAAUCACCUUCUACCUAUACCCAAGUCUCAUCAUAGUCCCUCAUUAGGAAACAACCCAAAUGAAGACACUACUCGAUGCUAUAUUCUGUGAACUGAGAUGUUUUCCUUUGGCAUGAAGCAAAGUCCUAAAGCCUCUAUCCCCAAUAAAGUUUCUGUUUUAC
rnacentral:lncRNA from 1 species